CACACUCACAAACACAGUCAGACACACACAGAGUCAGACACAAACACACACACAGUCAGACACAUACACAGACACAAACACAGUCAGACAAACACACACACACACACACACACACACUCACAAACACAGUCAGAUACACACAGAGUCAGACACAAACACACACACAGUCAGACACAUACACAAACAGACACACUCACAAACACAG